rnacentral:rRNA from 1 species
UACGGGGGGGGGUAAGCGUUGUUCGGAAUUACUGGGCGUAAAGGGCUCGUAGGCGGCCAACUAAGUCGGACGUGAAAUCCCUCAGCUUAACUGGGGAACUGCGUCCGAUACUGGAUGGCUUGGAUUUGGGAGAGGGAUGCGGAAUUCCAGGGUGUAGCGGUGAAAUGCGUAGAUAUUGGGGAGGAACACCAGUGGCGAAGG